rnacentral:tRNA from 1 species
AGCAAUAGCUCAGUCGUAGAGCCCCUGCUUCGAAGGCGGGGAGACCUGGGUUCAAUUCCUGGCUGCU